CCUAUGGGGUGCANCAGGCGAGAAAACUUUGCAAUGUGCGAAAGCACGACAAGGUUAAUCCGAGUGGUUUCUGCUAAAGGAACCUUUUGNCAGUCCUANAACACACUAGGUGCANAAGGGGUGGGCAAGU
rnacentral:rRNA from 1 species